CAUGAUAUAGGUCAACUAUAUUUGGUCUUUGGAAUGAAUACAAGUUGUACAUGUCUGACUGUCCCAAAGGACUAAGUGAACUUUUCUCUUCAUUUGGUGUCUGUCGUCUGUCAGAGUCCAUUGUUUACUCUUACAAAAUCAUUUCUUCUGAAACUACUUGGCCGAAUAGAACCAAUCCUAAGGGAACUACCAUUUGAUUUUUAUGGGGGGGCUAGGAUGAAAUUUGAAAAAAAUAGGCAGGACAGGAGUUUUGAGUAAAAAAAAAAGGCAGGAUGAGACAAUUGCCAAAAAAAAAAGUCAGGAUAAACUAAAAAAAAAAAAAGCAGGACCAAACAGAGUGAAAAAUAAAAAGGCAGGACAGAGAUUACAGCUAAAAAAAAAUGCAGGACCAAAUUUUUCAUCCUAGCCCCCCCCCCCCCCCCCAUAAAAAUCAAAUGGUAGCUCCCUAAACAAAAUCAUCAUUGUCUAGAUUGAAAAAUAUAGGUAUCUUAUGACCCACCUGUCAACCGACAUGGCUAAAAAAAAGAACAUAGGGCCCCAUAAAAUAAUACAUGUGUUAACACUAAUGUGCUGGGGGAAAAAAGGGUAGGUAGGCAAUAUCAUUUUAUUCUACAAACACUUUUAAACUGGUUACUACUGGGGGGAAAAUGCCAUAGACA
rnacentral:lncRNA from 1 species